GAUGAACGCUAGCGGGAGGCCUAACACAUGCAAGCCGAGCGGUAGAGUUUCUUCGGAAACUUGAGAGCGGCGCACGGGUGCGUAACACGUGUGCAACCUACCUUUAUCUGGGGGAUAGCCUUUCGAAAGGAAGAUUAAUACCCCAUAAUAUAAUGAUUGGCAUCAAUUAUUAUUGAAAACUCCGGUGGAUAGAGAUGGGCACGCGCAAGAUUAGAUAGUUGGUGAGGUAACGGCUCACCAAGUCAAUGAUCUUUAGGGGUCCUGAGAGGGAGAUCCCCCACACUGGUACUGGGACACGGACCAGACUCCUACGGGAGGCAGCCGUGAGGAAUAUUGGACAGUGGGUGAGAGCCUGAUCCAGCCAUCCCGCGUGAAGGAUGACGGUCCUAUGGAUUGUAAACUUCUUUUGUACAGGGAUAAACCUACUCUCGUGAGGGUAGCUGAAGGUACUGUACGAAUAAGCACCGGCUAACUCCGUG
rnacentral:rRNA from 1 species